GAUUAAUGAGGAUUUCCUGAGCUAUUGUCUUGAGUUCCAACUUUUUGCUGACUUCCUGCUAAAUUUGCUGAUGAGAAUAUUUUCAACUAGAUGACUUGGUUGAGCAGAUCUUGUGCACCUCCAAAAUUUUGAACUCAUAGCAGCUUGAGAAUUGCCGCAGGAUAUUUGGUUGUCUAUUCUUCAGUGCCUUAUGUUCAUACCUGUUCAUCAUAUCCGAUUGUUGAUAGCAGCAGUUAAACAAAUACUG